GUGCUUGCCAUGGCAGCAUAUACACUAAAAUUGAAAUGACAGAGAUUAGCAUGGUCCCUGUGAAAGGAUAACACGAAAAUUCCUGAAGUGUUCCAUAGUUAA